rnacentral:rRNA from 1 species
CAGAAACCCUUUGUGAACUUAUACCUUACUGUUGCCUCGGCGCUAGCUGGUCCCUCGGGGCCCCUCACCCUCGGGUGUUGAGACAGCCCGUCGGCGGCCAACCUAACUCUUGUUUUUUACACUGAAACUCUGAGCACAAAACAUAAAUGAAUCAAAACUUUCAACAACGGAUCUCUUGGUUCUGGCAUCGAUGAAGAACGCAGCGAAAUGCGAUAAGUAAUGUGAAUUGCAGAAUUCAGUGAAUCAUCGAAUCUUUGAACGCACAUUGCGCCCUCUGGUAUUCCGGAGGGCAUGCCUGUUCGAGCGUCAUUUCAACCCUCAAGCCUGGCUUGGUGAUGGGGCACUGCUUCUUACCCAAGAAGCAGGCCCUGAAAUUCAGUGGCGAGCUCGCCAGGACCCCGAGCGCAGUAGUUAAACCCUCGCUCUGGAAGGCCCUGGCGGUGCCCUGCCGUUAAACCCCCAACUUCUGAAAAUU